rnacentral:miRNA from 1 species
UGUGUGUGUGUGUGUUUGUGUGUGUGUGUAUAUACAUAUAUAUAUACACACACACACACAAACACAUACACACAUA